AAGUGAGUCCUGUUCAGCGUGGGAGGAAAUAACACAAGAGGCAAAGAUCACUCGGGACCACCUUGUAUAUUGGCUACCACAGAACCCAACACAAGCAGAUUGCCUUGGAAAGAAAUCAAACUCAGAAACAGACAAGCCAAGCCCACCGUAUUCUUGGAGACACCUUCAGGUUGUGAGUGAGGAAUGGAUGCCAUUGUUAGUGGCUUCCGUUGUGCUCAGUGGAAACACGCAUCUACAGGUAGAAUGUAGAGGAACAGCCCAAUUCAGCUGUCUUGUGGAUUUCAGGCUGUGGUCUCUCUGCCUCUCUCUGGAACACAGGAGGAACUUUGCUACUGCCUUGACCAACAGAAUAUGGGGGAAGCGACAUUGUGUGAAUUACAAGAUGGAGUAUCACUCUGUCACCCCGGCUGGAGUGCAGUGGCGCGAUCUCGGCUCACCGCAAGCUCCACCUCCCGGGUUCUAUUGAUUCUCCUGCCUCAGCCUCCUGAAUAGCUGGGGCUACAGCAGGGUGACUAACAGACCAUCAGAGUGGCAGGAAAUUGGAGAAUCGCUACGACAGUCACCCAGCCUGGCUGGCAGCAUUGAAAGAACAAACAAGUACAUCUUCCAUAAAGACCGCGCCCUGAGCUCACCAUUCCUCUUUCUGAGAGAGCUGAGGCAGUUCUUCCUUCAGGGGAGCAACCAUUGUUCUAGGCUCAAAGCAAGUCUGAGAGAGACGCACACGUGUGGGAUUCUAGGACCUUGACCCUCCACCGCAAACAGAGGCACUCACCUCUGCAUUCUGGGAAACGGCAGUCUGUGUGUCAGCCAGAUAAACACUUAAGUUCAGGGGCAUCUGACAAACAGCUGUCCCCACCGACCUUGUUUUGUUGGUCCCAUUUUCACAACUGUUGAUGUGGCUUCCUGAGUUCCUGACCACUUGAAUAAACAACCAAGAGCAGCA
ensembl:lncRNA LINC01968 long intergenic non-protein coding RNA 1968